UACGGAGGGAGCUAGCGUUGUUCGGAAUUACUGGGCGUAAAGGGCUCGUAGGCGGCCAACUAAGUCGGAUGUGAAAUCCCCAGGCUCAACUUGGGAACUGCAUCCGAUACUGGAUGGCUUGAAUCCGGGAGAGGGAUGCAGAAUUCCAGGUGUAGCGGUGAAAUGCGUAGAUAUCUGGAGGAAUACCGGUGGCGAAGGCGGCAUCCUGGACCGGCAUUGACGCUGAGGAGCGAAAGCGUGGGGAGCGAACAGG
rnacentral:rRNA from 1 species